rnacentral:rRNA from 1 species
CAAGAGCGUAUAUUAAAGUUGUUGCAGUUAAAAAGCUCGUAGUUGGAUUUCUGGUACAACGCGCCUGGCCCGCUUACGUGAGUGCCGGUGCGCGUUUGCCAUCCUUCUAGAAAACGUCUCUACUCGGGCAACUGAGCCGGAUUCGCGAUCUAGAUCUUUUACUUUGAAAAAUUAGAGUGUUUAAAGCAGGCUAUUGCCUUGAAUACAUUAGCAUGAAAUAAUAAUCUAGGACUUCGGUUCUAUUUUGUUGGUUUCUUAGUACUGAAGUAAAUAGAUUGUAUAGGGAGUAGUUGGGGGUUGGGUCGUAGUAUUGUACCGGCCCGACGAGGUGGAAAUUACUUUGGUA